CGGGGGGCAGCAGUGGGGAAUCUUGCGCAAUGCGCGAAAGCGUGACGCAGCAACGCCGCGUGGGGGAAGACGGCUUUCGAGUUGUAAACCCCUUUCAGUUGGGACGAAGCUUCGUCGGUUAAUAGCCGGCUGGAGUGACGGUACCUUCAGAAGAAGCCCCGGCUAACUACGUGCCAGCAGCCGCGGUAAUACGUAGGGGGCAAGCGUUGUCCGGAAUCAUUGGGCGUAAAGAGCGUGUAGGUGGCCCGAUAAGUCUGCCGUGAAAGUCCAAGGCUCAACCUUGGGAUGCCGGUGGAUACUGUCGGGCUGGAGUCCGGAAGAGGCGAGUGGAAUUCCUGGUGUAGCGGUGAAAUGCGCAGAUAUCAGGAGGAACACCAAUGGCGAAGGCAGCUCGCUGGGACGGUACUGACACUGAGACGCGAAAGCGUGGGGAGCAAACAGGAUUAGAUACCCGAGU
rnacentral:rRNA from 1 species